AAGUCGUAACAAGGUCUCCGUAGGUGAACCUGCGGAGGGAUCAUUCACAUGAUAUACUUUAAACAAACUGUGAACUUUAUAAAAUACUAUUCGUGUGUGUUGUUGACUUUAUGUUAAUUUCAUACAUUGUCAUUCGAUUGAACAUAAGAUAGUUGGCUUGAAAUUGUAAUUUAUUACAUUUUCUUUCUCAGCUUUGAUUUGAUAUUACUAAACAUUUUAUCACUUCAACCAUAAAACAUAGAAACAACUCUAUGCCCUGGAUAUCUUGGUUCUC
rnacentral:misc_RNA from 1 species